rnacentral:rRNA from 1 species
GAAUUUAAGCAUAUUAUUAAGCGGAGGAAAAGAAACUAACAAGGAUUCCCUCAGUAACGGCGAGUGAAGCGGGAAGAGCUCAAAGUGAAAAUCGUGUGCCCAGGCGGGUGCUCGAGUUGUAAUCUGAAGACGUAUGGUCUGCGCGCGACCUGGGUAUAAGUCCUUUGGAACAGGGCGUCAUAGAGGGUGAGAACCCCGUUUAUGACCCGGAGCUCGCCGCGUACGAUAUGCGUUCAACGAGUCGCGUUGCUUGGGAUCGCAACGCUAAAUGGGUGGUAAAUCUCAUCUAAAGCUAAAUACUGGCGAGAGACCGAUAGCGAACAAGUAGCGUGAGCGAAAGAUGAAAAGAACUUUGAAAAGAGAGUCAAACAGUACUUGAAAUCGCUAGGAGGGAAGUUAUGGAAACUAGUUUCAGCGUCACUUUGCUGCCUGCCGUAGAAGCCCCGCGGGAAGGUGGAUGCUUGCGUCUUUACAGCCCGCGGUGGUGACGGUGGGGUGGAGUGAGGAACGAGAAGGCACUUCAAGGCACCCGUGCAUGCUUCUCAUGCGUCGCUGGACAGCAAAGCUGUGCUGAGGCGGGUGGGCGGUAUUUGCGCGGGGUUCGCUAUUCGUGCCUUGGCGAUGCUGAAGAAAUGGUUUUCAUUGACCCGUCUUGAAACACGGACCAAGGAGUCUAACAUAUAUGCGAGUAUUUGGGUGUGUCAAACCCUGGUGCGCAAUGAAAGUGAAGGGUCCUCGUGGCCUGAGGUAGGAACGGCUCUAAGCCGGGCACUAUCGACCGAUCGCCGCUUGCGGUAGAUUUGAGUAAGAGCAUAUCUGUUGGGACCCGAAAGAUGGUGAUCUAUGCCUGAACAGGGUGAAGCCAGGGGAAACUCUGGUGGAAGCUCGUAGCGGUACUGACGUGCAAAUCGUUCGUCUGAUUUGGGUAUAGGGGCGAAAGACUAAUCGAACCAUCUAGUAGCUGGUUCCCUCCGAAGUUUCCCUCAGGAUAGCUGGAGCUCAUGUAUCAGUUUUAUCAGGUAAAGCUAAUGAUUAGAGGUACCGGGGAUGAAACAUCCUUGACCUAUUCUCAAACUUUAAAUAGGUAAGAACCCCGUGGUUACUUGAUUGAACCCGGGGAUGGAAUGAACGAGUUCUUAGUGGGCCAUUUUUGGUAAGCAGAACUGGCGAUGCGGGAUCAUCCGGACGCUUGAGUUAAGGUGUCCAAGUGUUGGUUCAUCCAGAUUACGCAAAAGGUGUUGGUUGAUAGAGACAGUAGGACGGUGGUCAUGGAAGUCGAAAUCCGCUAAGGAGUGUGUAACAACUCACCUACCGAAUCAAUUAGCCCUGAAAAUGGAUGACGCUGAAACCAACCACCUAAACUCAGCCACCAGCGCAAGUGCGAGGCACUGGUGAGUAGGAGGGCGUGGGGGUCGUGACGAAGGCUAGGGCGCGAGCCCGGCUGAAACGGCCCCUAGUGCAGAUCUUGGUGGUAGUAGCAAAUAUUCAAAUGAGAACUUUGAAGACUGAAGUGGAGAAAGGUUCCAUGUGAACAGCAAUUGGACAUGGGUUAGUCGAUGGUAAGAGAUAGGGUAACUCCGUUACAAAGAGGGCUUUUCUGAGCCCCUCCUAUCGAAAGGGAACCGGGUUAAUAUUCCCGGACCAGGACGUGGAUAUUGUGUGGCAACACAAGUGAACUCGGAGACGCCAGCGGGAGUUCCGGGAAGAGUUAUCUUUUCUUUUUAACCGCCCAGCGACCCUGGAAGCUGUUUAGCAGGAGAUAGGGUGGCACGGCGGGGAAAGCGCCGCAUCUCUGCGGCGUCCGGUGCACUCCCGACGGUCCGUGAAAAUCCGAGGGAAAG